GCCUAACACAUGCAGGUCGAACGCGAAAGUGGAGCAAUCCAUGAGUAGAGUGGCAAACGGGUGAGUAACACGUGGGUGACCUGCCUUCGAGUGGGGGAUAACGUCCCGAAAGGGACGCUAAUACCGCAUAACAUGCUGUCUUUUAAGAGGUGGACAUCUAAGCUGGGGAUCGCAAGACCUAGCGCUUGAAGAGGGGCCCGCGUCCGAUUAGCUAGUUGGUGGGGUAAUGGCUCACCAAGGCAACGAUCGGUAUCCGGCCUGAGAGGGCGGACGGACACACUGGGACUGAGACACGGCCCAGACUCSUAYGGGAGGCAGCAGUGGGGAAUUGUUCGCAAUGGGCGCAAGCCUGACGACGCAACGCCGCGUGGAGGAUGAAGAUCUUCGGGUCGUAAACUCCUUUCGAUCGAGACGAAUGGCCCCUGGGCUAAUCACCAGGGGAAUGACGGUACCGAGAGAAGAAGCCCCGGCUAACUCCGUGCCAGCAGCCGCGGUAAUACGGGGGGGGCAAGCGUUGUUCGGAAUUACUGGGCGUAAAGGGCUCGUAGGUGGCCAACUAAGUCAUACGUGAAAUCCCUCGGCUUAACCGGGGAACUGCGUCUGAUACUGGAUGGCUUGAGUUCGGGAGAGGGAUGCGGAAUUCCAGGUGUAGCGGUGAAAUGCGUAGAUAUCUGGAGGAACACCGGUGGCGAAGGCGGCAUCCUGGACCAACACUGACACUGAUGAGCGAAAGCCAGGGGAGCAAACGGGAUUAGAUACCCCGGUAGUCCUGGCCCUAAACGAUGAAUGCUUGGUGUGGCGGGUAUCGAUCCCUGCCGUGCCGAAGCUAACGCAUUAAGCAUUCCGCCUGGGGAGUACGGUCGCAAGGC
rnacentral:rRNA from 1 species